UACGGAAGGGGCAAGCGUUGUUCGGAAUCAUUGGGCGUAAAGCGCGUGUAGGCGGCUUGGCAAGUCGGGUGUGAAAGCCCUGGGCUCAACCUAGGAAGUGCACUCGAAACUGCCUCGCUGGAGUGCCGGAGAGGAAAGCGGAAUUCUCGGUGUAGAGGUGAAAUUCGUAGAUAUCGAGAGGAACACCGGUGGCGAAGGCGGCUUUCUGGACGGUUACUGACGCUGAGACGCGAAAGCGUGGGGAGCAAACAGG
rnacentral:rRNA from 1 species